UUAGGGUGGCCCAAGGGAGCACUUUUCAGCCUUGUAAAUCCACAUCCCUAGUUGUGAUAUAAAAGUCCAUCUCUCAUUCUCGUUCCAGUCCCAGCCCACCCUGCCCCUCCCACUGAAUGCAACUCUAGGCCUGGCCUCAGUGCGGGAGCAGCUAUCUCAGGAAAACACGGCAGGAAGAUCAGGGCAGGAAGGAGAACUCGGAGCACCACCAAACUGGCAGGCACCAGGAAAAAGCAGAACUUCUCAGACAACUGGAUUCCCAGCCUUCAUGAGGCAGCACCCAAACUGCUCACUCUACCAUAUCCUGGGGGAAAGUGCCAGACAGUAUUCUGAGCACCAGUGGGUCUCCCUCAGUCUGUGGCCGCUUGUCCAGCUGGUUUUAAGAUCAAAGCUGCAGGGCCAGAAACUAAAAUCCAAGACCAAUAAAGAAGAGAAGGGUCCUCCUGCAACUGUUUCUCCUUGGUUCCUUUAAAUGUCAGUGACCUCACUUCUCCCUCUCCUGACUGACUCCCAGCCGUGGACUUAACUUGGCUCAAGGAAGAACCACAGAUCUGUGAACUUCGGCAGAAGGAGGACAACAGAACAGUGAAGAAUGACUGCCAAUGAUUGUCUCCAAAAAAGAACAGCAAAAGUCCAAGUUCCUCCUCUGUUCCUGGUGUCCUCUCCUACAGACGGUGUUUAUCUCUCACCCCUCCUGAGAAGAAGCGGCUUCCCAUAUCUGAAAGAGGAGGGGCCACACUGGACUGCGAGACUGUGGACCAGCCUUCUGAGCCCAGAGCCGUCAGGGCAGUAUUGCCGGGGCCUCCUUGAUAAAUACGCUUUACUGCAGGAUUCCAAACCAUCCUGGCUGGAAAUAAGAGUGUUGAAGCUGACAGAACACCAGCACCACAGCCAACAUCUGUGGCCACGUCCACUAUGGCAGGAAAGGGUCAAUUUACUUGAUAUAGAAGCAAUGUCUGGAGCACAAGGGUCAGGCCCCAGGGGACCUGCACAUUAUGAUUCACUUGUCUUUUCUGGGCCCGUGAGGGUGAGGGGCUAACUGGGGAUGACAGAGGAGAUGCAUGUGCAGUGGAAGGGCAGACCCUCCGAGACCCGCCUUCCCUGGAGUGGCCGCAGUCCCCACGCUGGGUGCUUCAAGCUGUAGGAACCACCCGUCAUCCCUGACCCCCACCGCAGGCUGCCGUAUAUCCUUCUGCAUCUUUCCAUUGCCUCCUGUCUCCUUUCUCUCAUCUCCGCCUCUCCUCCCCUCCCACACUGUUUGGUCAACGGGCCUCAGCUGGGUUGGCAGGCCAGUGCUCCCUCUUAACUGGACUUUUUCAACUGGACUUUUCUACUGAGCCUGGCUGUUGCCUGGACAGGUUUUCUAAGACCAGCAUCUAUGCUGCAGAGAGGCAAGGAGAGCCCUCCACGCGUCUUCCCUCCCUUUGGACCAAGUGGCUUCUAGGAACCCGUGUGGACCUGAAGCCCUCAGCCUCUGCGCCUAGCUGUACACCAGGUGUCUUCUGAGAAAUGUCCACGCCACAGUUCAGUGCCACCCCAGCGGAGCCUGAACUAUCUUGUCUGCUGUCCAGUUACAAAUUAAUCUCUCAUCAUCAGUGAUUAACUUAUUGGAGCCACAGGAGCUGCUGAACCAAAACAGCCCCUCGGGGUGAAAAAGUCUCCGGCAUCGUGCGGUGUGUGGAUCUGCCUGUGACCCUCAUCCCUCUGGCCCUCGUGCUGCGUCAGCAGGGGAGCAGGGAGGCCAGGCCGGGGACCCGCUCUGGGCACUGCUGCUCUGGAACGCUCACCGGGUUCCUCAAAGUGGAGAUCCACGUGGCCAAGGGCUGGGGCUUGUUUUCUCAGGGUUUGUCCUCAAGGAAGGUUUUAAACAUGGGACUGGGGUGGGCGUAUGCUCUGGGGACAAAAGCUACUUGCAAACAACAGCCUGGGAUGGAUAUGGAAGGAAGAGGAGCCAAACUUUGGAAUCUGCUGGCUUUUGAGGGGACGUAACGAGUCAUCUCUUAGUGUAUAAACGAUCACAGUAGGAAGAUCAUCAGUUUGAACCUUCUCAUUCUACAGACACGAAGGAAGAGGGCUCGACUCUCCCAGGGUCACACCGUAGAGCCAAUGGGAGACAAAAAACAAAUGUCAAGCUGUUCCUUAGUUGGAACAAAUGUGUACCCCCCGGCCGUAAGAUGUUGACAAUGCAGAAAACUGGAGGAUGGGUGUAUCAGAAUUCUAUACUAUCUUGGCAACAUUUCUAUAAAUCUAAAACUAUUUUAAAAAUAAAGCACUUACUUAAAAUUUUUUUUAAUUUUAUUUAUUAAUUUUUUGGUGAGGAGGAGGAGGUAAUUAGAUUUUUAUUUAUUUAUUUUUAAUGGAGGUACUGGGGAUUGAACCCAGGACCUUGUGCAUGCUAGGCACGCACCCUACCACUGAGCUGUACCCUACCCCCCUAAAAAUUUUUAAAUGGUGGCUUUCAGUGUACCUCAGACUGGAACCUUUAUCAGAUAUUUAAUCAUAGUGCUUGCAACAUGGUAGGCGUGGAAUGACAGGCAUCUGAGAGAGGAACAGGGAGGGAAAGAGGGAUGGAGGAGAGAGGCAAGAAGAGAGUGAGAGGGAGGAGGAAGACACCAAGGUACAAAAUACAGAAGGAACUGUAACCGCCCAGCAGCAGAUGGCUGCGUAAACCGAAGGCGGUGUGUUCACAUCACGGAAUAUUAUUUGCCACAAAAAGGAAUGGAGGCCUAAUCCAUGCUACAACAUGGAUGGACCUUGGAAAUACGACAGUCAGUGCAAGAAGCCGGACAGAGAAGCCCACCCCAGUGCAUAAUCCCAUCUACAUGAAAUGUCUUAGAAAAGGCAAACCCACAGGACAGUAAGUAGAGCAGUGGUUUCUAGGGACUGGGGGCUGGGGUGGUGGUGAGUGAUUGCUAAUGGGUAUGGGGUUUAUUGCGGGGCUGAUGAAAAUGUUCUGCUACUAGAGAGUGGUGAUGGUUGCACCACCUUGUGAAUCUACUAAAACCACUGAACUGUCCAAUUUAAAAGGAUGCAUU